GUAAUCUCUUUUCCCAAUAUGAGAAAUUAAUCUAAGUUUAAAAAUACUGAACCCUAUUUCGUUUAGGACUAUUCAAGCCGCCGAGGCAUUAUGAAACUUUGCUCUCUACAUCUUCCAUUCAUUCUUAACCCAAUUCGCCCGUAAGGUAUUUCAAAUCAAUCUAAGAUUUAUAAAUCUCAAUCUUCUAUAUUUGAUUCGUGGCUGCUUUUGACUGUUUGUCCAUAACCCUAGAUUUAUGAUCUAUUUUGAUCCUUUGAAACGUUUCAAAAAUAGAAGGGCCGCCAGCCAGAUCUAAAAUUUCAGCCACUAGCCGCUGUCAGUCUUGCAAUUUCCGAUCAGACUCACCUUAUCUAACUCGUGCUCUAUCUUGGAUACAAUAGAUUUUUGAGGGUUGUCAUGAGAUCAAUUACUAUUGUGAAGAAUCUUGUCUUAGAGAAAGCAUGGAACACUUCAUCAGGAAAACACAUGGCUGCUUGAAGCUUGAAUUAUUGGUGUUAGAAAUUUUUUAGGAAAAAGUUAUGAUUAUUUAAUUGUAGUUGCAUGUUGAUGUAGUUGUUUUAUUUUAAUUGUCUAUGGUGUUACUGGCAUGUGUGGAUGUAUGUCUCUUGGAAAGUUUUGAAAUGAAUAAAAAUUAAUUUAUUGCUUUCCACAUUA